CGCUGUUGCCAUGGUGGCGCCGAGGCCUGAGGGGCGCCGGGCCCGGGGAGGCCGCGGGGGCCGGGGCGGCUCCUCUGGAUCUCGGCCCUUUGGGCCCGGGAGCGAUUUAGAGCCGUGGGGUGGGUGCGGUGUCACCGCUGGGGUGACCCCCGGGGGGUACCAGCGGCACAAGGGGAGCACGUCUCGCAGCUGCCCCAAACGUCGCACAAGUAACGCUGAGCGGCGCCAGGACUGAGUUAAGGAACCGGAGAGCCGGAAACGGAGCAUUUAACCUGUCGUUGGCUUGUUAAUUGUUCGGUAAAUUUCCUGCUGGGUGCUGCGUUAACCAACAGGCUGAAGUGCAUUGGACUGGUAGUGGCUUAUAAAAGUGUGCUCAAAGAGCUGCCUCAGAUCGAGUUCUACUUGUUAACACCAGCUCCAGGCGAAUUUAGAGGGGACCACCAAGUUGAUGAGAGGGAUGAAGCACUUCUGUGAGGAAAGGCUGAGAAAAUUGGGAUUGUUCAGCCUGGGAGAGAGAUAGCUUUGAGUGACCCAACUUCCAGUACCUGAAGGGAGCUUACUGAAAAGAUGGGGCAAGACUCGACAAGGGCGUGCGAUCAAAUUCCUGCAGGCGGUGACCAUCAGAUCAGCUGUGGCUACAGAAAGCCCCGAUCACCUGCCCGGGUGUCACAGCUGACCCUGAGCAGGGCGUUGAGCUUCAGAGCCUCCUGGCGUCCUGUGCAACCCGAAUUCCUGUGUGAAUCACCACCGGAUCACCCGGGCUGCCUCACCCCAAUGGCAGGGGGUGCAACUGGAUGGGCUUUGAGGUCCCUCCCAAGCCAAACCAUGCCAGGAUUCCAUGGUUCAGCAGCCAGGGCUUUAGCUGAGCUGUCAGUGAUGGUCACUGUGUUACAGAUUCACCACUCUGUUAAAUCUGCUUCCCAUUGGCCACUUGUACAAAGCAGGAAACAUCUGAUUUAAAAUUCCUCUGCUGGCAACACAAUAAUGGCAUCUUGCUUUCAGACUCUCCUAGAAGCUUCUUUGUUUUAUGUAAUACCAAUUACAAGGAAGGCAGGGUUUCAAAUCACACCUAAAAAUUGUUGAGUGCACCCACGUUGAUAAAGAGUUUCUGUGUUAGUGAAUUCCCAGAAAUUCCCAGAAUCGUAGAAUAUCCUGAGUUGUAAUAGACCCACAAGGAUCAUCAAGGUCUGAAUCCUGUCAUCAAAUAAAUUGUAUUUGCAGAGUUGGCUCUUGGGAAGACUGCCCUUCAGGUUUGAAUAUUAGUUUGCUGAACUGUUCUCUUGAGAAACUCAUUAAAAAAUGGUGUGAUGUUAUUUUAACAUGAUAAAGGAUUGAAUUAAGAUGCUUAA